rnacentral:rRNA from 1 species
AUUGAACGCUGGCGGCAUGCCUUACACAUGCAAGUCGAACGGCAGCAUGAUCUAGCUUGCUAGAUUGAUGGCGAGUGGCGAACGGGUGAGUAAUACAUCGGAACGUGCCCUGUAGUGGGGGAUAACUAGUCGAAAGAUUAGCUAAUACCGCAUACGACCUGAGGGUGAAAGUGGGGGACCGCAAGGCCUCAUGCUAUAGGAGCGGCCGAUGUCUGAUUAGCUAGUUGGUGGGGUAAAGGCCCACCAAGGCGACGAUCAGUAGCUGGUCUGAGAGGACGAUCAGCCACACUGGGACUGAGACACGGCCCAGACUCCUACGGGAGGCAGCAGUGGGGAAUUUUGGACAAUGGGCGAAAGCCUGAUCCAGCAAUGCCGCGUGUGUGAAGAAGGCCUUCGGGUUGUAAAGCACUUUUGUCCGGAAAGAAAUGGCUCUGGUUAAUACCUGGGGUCGAUGACGGUACCGGAAGAAUAAGGACCGGCUAGCUACGUGCCAGCAGCCGCGGUAAUACGUAGGUUGCAAGCGUUGUCCGGAUUUACUGGGCGUAAAGCGCGCGCAGGCGGUCUCGAAAGUCGAAUGUGAAAGCUCCCGGCCCAACUGGGAGAGGCCGUUCGAAACUUCGAGACUUGAAGGCGGGAGAGGCAGAUGGAAUUUCCGGUGUAGCGGUAAAAUGCGUAGAUACCGGAAGGAACACCAGUGGCGAAAGCGAUCUGCUGGCCCGCCCUUGACGCUCAGGCGCGAAAGCUAGGGGAGCGACCGGGAUUAGAUACCCCGUUAGUCCUAGCCGUAAACAAUGGGCACUAGGUGUUGUCGGUAUCGACCCCGGCAGUGCCGAAGCUAACGCAUUAAGUGCCCCGCCUGGGGAGUACGACCGCAAGGUUAAAACUCAAAGGAAUUGACGGGGGCCCGCACAAGCAGCGGAGCGUGCGGUUCAAUUCGAUGGUACGCGAAGAACCUUACCCAGACUUGACAUGCAAGUGGUAGGGACCUGAAAGGGAACCGACCCGCAAGGGAGCUUGCACAGGUGUUGCACGGCUGUCGUCAGCUCGUGUCGUGAGAUGUUGGGUUAAGUCCCGCAACGAGCGCAACCCUCGGGAUCUGUUGUAUCACUCAGAUCCGACUGCCGAGAGAAACUCGGAGGAAGGUGGGGAUGACGUCAAGUCAGCGUGGCCUUUAUGUCUGGGGCUACACGCACGCUACAAUCGCCGGUCACAACGGGUUGCGACUGCACAAGCAGAAGCUAAUCCCCUAAAACCGGCGUCAGUUCAAAUCGAAGGCUGCAACUCGCCUUCGUGAAGUCGGAGUUGCUAGUAACCGCAGGUCAGCACACUGCGGUGAAUAUGUUCCCGGGCCUUGUACACACCGCCCGUCACGUCAUGGGAGUUAGUAACACCCGAAGCCGGUGGGCCAACCGCAAGGAGGCAGCCGUCGAAGGUGGGACUAGCGACUGGGACG